rnacentral:rRNA from 1 species
CAGCCGUAAACUAUGCUCGCUAGGUGUCAGGCAUGGCGCGACCGUGUCUGGUGCCGCAGGGAAGCCGUGAAGCGAGCCACCUGGGAAGUACGGCCGCAAGGCUGAAACUUAAAGGAAUUGGCGGGGGAGCACAACAACGGGUGGAGCCUGCGGUUUAAUUGGACUCAACGCCGGACAACUCACCGGGGACGACAGCAAUAUGUAGGCCAGGCUGAAGACCCUGCCUGAAUCGCUGAGAGGAGGUGCAUGGCGUAGACGU